rnacentral:rRNA from 1 species
AUGCCCGAUAAGAUCUCUUGGAAGUGGACUCAGAGCGGGAAAUACAUAGCUACCUUUGUCUACCCAGCCCUAUUCCUCGGCUCCACCACUGCGCCUAAUUGGCGGCCCAUUUGGAAGUGUUGGGCGCCGACAAAUGCCAAGUUCUUUCUCUGGUUAGUCUCCCUGGACCGCUGCUGGACUGCGGAACAAAGAGCGCGCCACGGGUUACCUCACGACCCCCAUUGCAAGUUGUGUGGCCAGGAGUUCGAGACCAUUGAUCACCUGCUUGUUCAAUGCGUCUUCUCGAAGAUCACCUGGCAUGAGAUCUUAUCCUGGUGUCGCCUCCCGGUGCUUCUGCCUGGCGCUGACACGUCCUUCUUCCCGUGGUGGUCUGCCUCGCUGGCCGCUUCUCCGGCAAGCCUGGGGAAAGGCCUCAACGCCCUUAUAGCCCUCACCGCUUGGAGCAUCUGGAAGCAUCGAAACGCCGCUCUCUUCGACGGCCUCCGACCAUCUACUGACGCCCUUGUCCACACCAUCAAGGAGGAAGCCCGGCUUUGGUCUAAAGCCGGUGCUCAAGGCUUAGCACUAAUUAUCCCUGUAAUCUAG